UUGAGCUAAUACCGUAUACGUCCGUGAGGAGAAAGAUUUAUCGCCCUUAGACGGGCCCGCGUAGGAUUAGGUAGUUGGUGAGGUAACGGCUCACCAAGCCUACGAUCCUUAGCUGAUCUGAGAGGAUGAUCAGCCACACUGGGACUGAGACACGGCCCAGACUCCUACGGGAGGCAGCAGUGGGGAAUCUUGGACAAUGGGCGCAAGCCUGAUCCAGCCAUGCCGCGUGAGUGAAGAAGGCCUUCGGGUUGUAAAGCUCUUUUACCAGGGACGAUAAUGACGGUACCUGGAGAAUAAGCCCCGGCAAACUUCGUGCCAGCAGCCGCGGUAAUACGAAGGGGGCUAGCGUUGUUCGGAAUUACUGGGCGUAAAGCGCACGUAGGCGGAUUGUUAAGUCAGAGGUGAAAUCCCGGAGCUCAACUUCGGAACUGCCUUUGAUACUGGCAAUCUAGAGUCCGGAAGAAGUUAGUGGAAUUCC
rnacentral:rRNA from 1 species